rnacentral:tRNA from 1 species
GGGGGUACAGCUCAGUGGUAGAGCGCAUACUCGCAAGCAUGAGGUCCUGGGUUCAAUCCCCAGUGCCUCUG